GAAGAAUAUGCAAAAGAUCCUACCCCAACCAGUAGAUGGAACUACAUUUCCGUACCCUGAAAGACAUAACUGUAGCAUUGCUCGCGAAAAAGACCGCUUGUAGAACGCUCCAUCUUUCAGUGGGUAUCGGCGGCAGCUCUGCUGGUCCCCGAUCCUCUUGAUCGAUCGUGUCUGCUACGAAACUUAUCAACAAACCACCCUGCGCUGCUUCUUGCACAGCCUCUUCGUAUUCUUGUAAUUUCACGCUGACCUGCAAUCAUCUUCUGCCAUCGUACACCUUUCAACUUUCGACACGUUUUAAAUCUGUUUAAACGAUUUCAAGAACAAUGUUCGUUUCGCGAAUACUGUCCGCGUUUUCUCGACUUACCAGAGUGUGCAAGUUCGAGACGUCGGAGUUAUUGGAAAUGGAGUCGACGAACGAGCGUCUCAAGGUGCGCAAAUUGGCGCGCAGACUUUCCAAACGCGCCUGUUCCGCCGGAAGCUCGAUAUGCCGAAAAACCUGACAGCGGGGGCAACAGUCACUAACGACAUAGCAGCUUCGAAUCUACUUGUACAGCGUCGAUACCAAGAACGUUAACAUCUCGUGAUCAGGAAAUAUAAUACGAAAUAUGCUAAUCCUAAUUUAUCUGAUAAAAUUGUACUCGAGCGCACUUGCGAACUUGGCGAAUCUCGAGUGGGCGUCUCGACGCCUGUUUACCAUCGAUACUCGACCGUAUUUACCAAACGCAUGUCCGGUUUACGUUUCGAUAGCGUCGUUAAUCAUUCCCUCUGAAGUUGAAUUUAGAAAAAAAAAACACGAAUCGUAGAGCGAAUGAUUUGCCUUGUAUUAUUAUAACUUUCACAUCAAAUAAUAUAAUAUAUUAUUUUCAAGCGUAAAGAAUAACAAAACAUUAAAUAUAAUGUACUGCGGUCGUUUUGGUGAUAUCGCAUCCUACGAUAGUGUCACUAUGUGUUUCUAAUAGCGCUAUUGGAUGUAUUUAAUAAUGACGUGUUGCGAUCAAACGAACAGAUCGAGAAUUGAAAAUAAAAAUGUUAUUCGUAAACGUUCGACAGAGUAUGGUAGAUAGCAAUCGCAACCGAGCGUACGAUUGGUCCAUUGCUAAAAAUAAAGACACCGAUUGGUAAUCCAGACACACGUUGUUAUUUCUAUAAAUAUUACGUUCCCCGUAAACUCUGGUAACCAAACAAUUAGAGACGCGAACGUUCGUGGGCCGCCCGGAGGAAUACCGAUCAAGACAUCGUCGUCGAUGUUUGUCUGUAUAUUUUCGAAUCUUCGAUAGGACGUAAGCUGCGCGUUCCUCGGUAGCGACCACUUGUAUUCCUAAUUUAACGACAUUGUACUUUCGCCAUAAUGCAUAGUGGGGCAAAAUCCGAGAGAGCUAGCGAAAAUUAAACAAACAGAUUCUGAAAAUCGAGGAUUCUCGUUUGGGGUGCGCCACUUAAGAGUUUCCUUCGUCAAGGUCAUGCGCAAUUAUUACGUAAAGCGAGUGUUACGAGUACUAUUUUCAUUACGUUCAAACAUUUUUGACAUAUAGCAUCUAAUCUUCAUAUAUUUCUUUUCGGUCUACUAGUA